UGUCAUUCUUUUGAGGCAGGGUCUUGCUGUGUCUCCCAGGCUGGGGUGCAGUGGCAUAAUCACUGCAGCCUUGACCUCCCACUUUGUUACCUGUUUCCGACGGUGUGACCCGAGUGCGCUUCGUUACCCGUUUCUGAUGGCAUGACCCGACUGCACUUUGUUACCUGUUUUGAUGGUUGUUUCUGAUGGCGUGACCCAACUGUGCCUCGUUACCCGUUUCCGAUGGUGUGACCUGACUGUGCUUUGUUACCUGUUUCUGAUGGUUGUUUCUGAUGGUGUGACCCGACUGUGUUUUGUUACCUGUUUCCGAUGGUGUGACCUGACUGCGCUUUGUUACCUGUUUCUGAUGGUUGUUUCUGAUGGUGUGACCCGACUGUGUUUUGUUACCUGUUUCUGAUGGUUGUUUCUGGUGGUGUGACCCAACUGCACUUUGUUACCUGUUUCUGAUGGUGUGACCUGACUGCGCUUUGUUACCUGUUUCUGAUGGCGUGACCUGACUGCGCUUUGUUACCUCUUUCCGAUAGCGGGAUCUGACUGCAUUUUGCAUUCAUGGGGGCACCGUCUGGCAAGGUGAGCUUGUCAGGGAGAGGCCGUAGCCCUCACCACCGCUAAUGACUGGCUACCACACAGAGGUUCCAGGCAGAGUCUAGCUACUGGAGCCAACCAGCGUGGCUUCGGCCAGUUAACAGACCACUUCUUGGAGUCAUGAGGAUUAACUCAGUGAGCCCAUGGAAAAUGCACAAACUAAGCCCUCAAUAAAUAUAGCCUGAUGAACUGCCAUUCUGCCUAUCCGAAUUCUACCCUAAGAUAGAUAAUCAGAGAUGCUAGGAGAAAACAUGAGCAUGUGAGUGGCUAAGAGUAUGGAUUCUGGAGUCAGGCAACCUGGGUUCAAGGCCUGCUGUAGUAUUACCCAAACUUGGGCAAGUUUGUUCAUCUUCUGAAGAGAGCUUCAUUUCUCACCUGGACCUGUAUCCGUAAUAACUGUAUGCAUAUCAUAGCACUGUCAUGAGGAUUAGAUGAGUUAAUACAUGUCGAAUGAUUGGUGCAUAAUAAAUGCUCAAUAAUUGUGAGCUGGCAUUACCCAUUCCAUUGUAUGUGGCAUGACAAUGUGAAACCACUUAAAUCAUUGACAAUAAAGAAAGGGUUAAACAGUCUGCAGUGCAUCCAUGUGAGGGGAGGUUAUGCUGUCUCUAAGUUAUCUAGAAAGAUUUUUACUGACAAGAGAAUAUUAAGUGAAAAGAUCCAUACGGUGUUAUAGAUAGUAUGAUUUCACUUCAUUAAAUAUCUAUACUUGGCUGGGCGCUGUGGCUCACGCCUGUAAGUAAUCCCAGCACUUUGGGAGGCCGAGGU
rnacentral:lncRNA from 10 species